CCUACGGGAGGCAGCAGUUAAGAAUAUUCCGCAAUGGACGAAAGUCUGACGGAGCGACGCCGCGUGGAUGAAGAAUGCCGAAAGGUUGUAAAAUCCUUUUAAGCCUGAGGAAUAAGCACAGUAGGGAAUGAUUGUGUGGUGACUGUAGGGCUUGAAUAAGCACCGGCAAAUUACGUGCCAGCAGCCGCGGUAACACGUAAGGUGCGAGCGUUGUUCGGAAUUAUUGGGCGUAAAGGGCAUGUAGGCGGAUGAGCAAGCUUGGUGUGAAAUGCUACAGCUUAACUGUGGGACAGCAUUGAGAACUGCACAUCUUGAAUUACUGAAGGGUAACUAGAAUUCCACGUGUAGGGGUGAAAUCUGUAGAUAUGUGGAAGAAUACCAAUGGCGAAGGCAAGUUACCGGCAGAUAAUU
rnacentral:rRNA from 1 species